CUUUGGAUAGAAAACACUCAAAAGUUUCUAAAACUGUUUGAAUGGUGUCUGUGAGUAUAACAGAACUCAAAUGGCAGGCCAAAUCCUGAGAAGAUUCUGUACAGGAAGUACCCUGUCUGACCAUUUCUUGGCCUUCUUUGUCAUCUCUAUCCAAAACAGAGGAUCUCUGCUGUAACGUGACACUUUCUAAGGCUCCCAUAGGCUCUCAGAAGGCGCCAGAACAUUGAAUGAUGACUCUGCAGUCUCUGGCUGAAAAACAGUAGCGCAUUUGGACAGUGGUCGAUCUGAGAACAAUGAGACGGGUGCGCGUGCACAUGAAGAGGCAAUUUUACAGUUUCAGUUUUUGAACGAAAACAAUGACUCCCGGUCAGAAUAUUAUCGCUAUUUUACGAGAAAAAUUGCAUAAAAUGUAUUUUAAACAGCGUUUGACAUGCUUCGAAGUACGGUAAUGGAAUAUUUUGAAAUUUUUUGUCACGAAACACGUCGGCGCGUCACCCUUCGUUACCCUUCGGAUAGUGUCUUGAACGCACAAACAAAACGCCGCUAUUUGGAUAUAACUAUGGAUUAUUUGGAACCAAACCAACAUUUGUUGUUGAAGUAGAAGUCCUGGGAGUGCAUUCUGACGAAGAACAGCAAAGGACCUGAGCCCUAGGACCAUGCCUCAGGACUACCUGGCAUGAUGACUCCUUGCUGUCCCCAGUCCACCUGGCCGUGCUGCUGCUCCAGUUUCAACUGUUCUGCCUGCGGCUAUGGAACCCUGACCUGUUCACCGGACGUGCUUGUUGCACCCUCGACAACUACUAUGAUUAUUAUUAUUUGACCAUGCUGGUCAUUUAUGAACAUUUUAACAUCUUGACCAUGUUCUGUUAUAAUAUCCACCUGGCACAGCCAGAAGAGGACUGGCCACCCCUCAUAGCCUGGUUCCUCUCUAGGUUUCUUCCUAGGUUUUUGGCCUUUAUAGGGAGUUUUUCCUAGGGAGUUUUUCCUAGCUACCGUGCUUCUUUCACAUGCAUUGCUUGCUGUUUGGGGUUUUAGGCUGGGUUUCUGUACAGCACUUUGAGAUAUCAGAUGCUGUACGAAGGGCUAUAUAAAUACAUUUGAUUUGAUUAGAUUUUUUACCCAGAUUCAAAAGAUUUGCAGCCGCCUUGAUGCUGUAUUGAACUUCCUCAGCAGUCUCUUGUUCCACUCCCUACGGAAUUUGCUUGUAAGAUCCCUCUCAAAUGUCAGUUGAAUCAGCUGCCUUUUCCUCUUGUGCAACAUGCUCCGUCUGUGCUUACUGAAUACAAAAUGCUCUGCAUAACGUUAGUCCAUUUUUCUUCUCCAGAUCGGGCGAUUUCAGUCUGGAGAAACUGCCGUGCGACAGUAAACUCAGAUUCCACAAAAUCUCCUGAGAUUAAGUCAGGCAGUGGUUUCACAUUGUCCACAUCCAUAAAGGUUUCAUUCUCUGGGUGCAAGGCACACAGGGACUCAACAAGUUGGCUGUUUCGUUCGUUAAAUCUUGCUGACAUUUCUCCUAGUCCAGCAUCCAGAGUGCUGAAAAAAAGUUUUUUGCACUCCCUCUCAUUAUCCUCUUCUUGCUGGCCCAUUGUUGUUUCGACCACAUGUUCUUUCAGAUUACGACUCACUACUCUGCCGUUUGCUUGGAGCGGGGUGUCCGAGUGCUUGUAUUUCCUUGCAGGAAUAUUCCAGCCACUCUCUGUCUUUGAGCCACGCGCUACAAAAUGCCAGUUGCAGGCCCCACGUCGGGUUGGUUACCUCCUAUGUCACCAGGCUGCAGACCGUUGUGCAGGUGCCUUUGCUGUUGGACUCGACAGCCUUGGCCUAGGUGAUUAUCGUCGGUUUAGCGGCCUUGGCCUCUGUGGCAGGCUUCUCCCCCUCCCCGCCGCUUUGAUCCGAUGCUGCCGUUGUGCCCUGGCGAAGCAAACUUUCUAAUAUCCAUCAUGCUAUCAGCUACCUACCUAACAGUUAACGUUAGCUAAAAAAAAUGUGGUAGUACAUAACCUAAAUGAUCAAAUUGACCCUGCCCUUCUACUGUGAAGGCCAACUGGUAAAAUGUGCGUACGUAUGAUGCAUGGAAGGCUUCCUCUGAUUCAGAAUCUAUAGAGCAUUUAUUUUUUUCAUGCCACCAUUCUAGUAAACCAUGGAUUGAAAUUCAUGAUCGGUUGUGUAUAAAGAAUUACAUAUCUUUUCCUUUGAAGAUGUUAAAUGACAUUAUGCUUAUCCUUGUAAUUCCCAUCAUAACUAUUUUAUUAACAUUAUUACUCUCUUGGCCAAAUAGUAUAUUCACAAAUGUAAAUGGGGUGGAAAAAUUACAUACUUUUUUGUUAUUUUCAUUGGACUGUUACAAUUUUAUAAAUCCCUCAAACUUCUGAAACGUAAAAAGUUGGAAAAAUUAUUAGAAGUCAUGUCUCUGAAUGUCUAUUAAUGCCUCAUUACCUUGUCAAAUAUUAAUGAUGUCCUGAAUUAUUCUUUUUUUUUGGGGGGGGGGGGGGUCGCCUGAUGUUCUAUUAUCUCAUUUUUUUCAUUGUAUUCACAGGAAUGUCCCUGC
rnacentral:lncRNA from 1 species